GAGGUGGCUUCCGGCCGCCAGGCGAGACUCCGCGGGAAAACUCCCUGCUAGAGAGACUAGGAGAUUUGGGGCUGCGGCCGUUUCCUCCGGAGCACCCACGGGACUGUGUGCUGGGGUCCCUCCACCGGCUGUGUCCUUUAUUCUUCUUUCUCACCCAACGAUUUACCUGAACGGUUAUAAAGUGCACGUUAUUUCCCUAAGCACUUUGAGUAUAUUGGCCCACUGCAUUCUGGACUUCAAAAUUUCUGAUGCGAAAUAUGCUGAUACUUUUGUUGAAGAAAUCUGGGCUUUGAGCAUCUGUAAGAUAUUUGUUGGAAGGUUUUGUCUGGUCCUUCUUACUGAUGUGUUGCUCUUCUUCAUGGCUCGUGAAAACUAUUAGAGUCAUCCAAGGGUGGGAAGAGAGAUCAGCAACGUUAACUGGGUGUCAAGAAAACAUACCGAGAUUGAAGCCAUCCACUUCUGCAGGAACACCGAAAAGAAAGCUUACAAUCUGAAGGUGUCCGUUCCUACACUGGUCAGACCACUGUCCUUGGGGCAGCUGGGGUCUUUGGGACCCUCCACCGGGCUCGCCGGUCCGUCGGACUUUUGGCUGAGAUCCGUGUCAGACUCCUCCGAAUAGUCGUCUGUUGGCAUCGAGGGCUGAACCCCUGAGGUGCUGCAUGAACUUGAGGUAACCGUUGAAGAUGAGGAGAGAGGAGGAAAAGAAGGGGGCUUCGCUGCCGAAGCCCGGGAGACCACUUGCGGCCAAGACUUCCUGGAGGCGUGGGGGGAAGCGGAGGAGGGGGCGGCGGCCGACGGGGGAGGGGGGCUGUCGUUUGAGUGAGCGGCAGACUGCGAGGUAGAUGCGGUGCUAGGAUCGGGGAAGCAGGCAGAGUGAGGUAAUAAACUAGGGUGCUCUUUGGCGUUU
ensembl:lncRNA ZFHX3-AS1 ZFHX3 antisense RNA 1